AUUGAACGCUGGCGGCAGGCCUAACACACGCAAGUCGAACGGUAACAGGAAGCAGCUUGCUGCUUCGCUGACGAGUGGCGGACGGGUGAGUAAUGUCUGGGAAACUGCCUGAUGGAGGGGGAUAACUACUGGAAACGGUAGCUAAUACCGCAUAACGUCGCAAGACCAAAGAGGGGGACCUUAGGGCCUCUUGCCAUCGGAUGUGCCCAGAUGGGAUUAGCUAGUAGGUGGGGUAACGGCUCACCUAGGCGACGAUCCCUAGCUGGUCUGAGAGGAUGACCAGCCACACUGGAACUGAGACACGGUCCAGACUCCUACGGGAGGCAGCAGUGGGGAAUAUUGCACAAUGGGCGCAAGCCUGAUGCAGCCAUGCCGCGUGUAUGAAGAAGGCCUUCGGGUUGUAAAGUACUUUCAGCAGGGAGGAAGGGAGUAAAGUUAAUACCUUUGCUCAUUGACGUUACCCGCAGAAGAAGCGCCGGCUAACUCCGUG
rnacentral:rRNA from 1 species